rnacentral:lncRNA from 1 species
AUGAGGCUGCUGCUGUCGUAUCUGAGUUCGCCGUCGUGUCAGCUGACACAGCUCUGUGCGGAGUGGAUGGGAGCUUCGGGGGAAAAAUACUGUUGGCUGGGUGAGUGUCCAGUGAUCCAGAGCAGUGAAGGCAGGGGGCAGGCAGGUGAUGUGAGAUCCAGAGAACCGGAAGCAGAGGUACCCAACGUCCAGUUAGAGGUGCAAGCUGUUGGUGGUGGGCAUGAUGGAAUCCAGGAACUACCGAGGGCACAAGGAAGAAGAGGUAAGUAAUCGUAGGGAUGAAAAGUAAGGCGCAAAGAGAAACCUGUUACUAACAGAGAUUAGCUAUUGGAUGAGGAUGCUGGUCCUAAAUACCGUCUGUUGAUAGCUCUUGAUCACUGCCAGGUGAGCAAGCAGGUGCAGUGACAAUGCUCCGCCCAAAGGCGUGAACUACAGCCAACUCACCUGGACCAUGACAGAUGGUUUAUGCUUUAUGAUAUCCAAUUAAGUAAUACAGCAUACUAUCUUCAGAUAGCCACAUGACAUUUUCAGGACUUCAAUCAAAUCUAUUCUUUCCCUACACCAACCUGCACCAGUGCAAAACCCUUUGUUUGUUUGUUAACUUAUACAAACAAUGGUCAGGAUUUAAUAAAGAGGCACACUUUCAGCUUUGUGAAAAGGCUGAAAAGAGCUGGCCUUGUUGCAUAUGUAUUAGCAGGAAUUUCCCUGAAAAAAAAUGGGAGGAUGGUAUUUAAAUGAAUCACAGAAAUGUAAUUUACCAAGGUUUGCCACACAGAAUUAAUGAAUUGAAAAGAUAUAAAGAUGGAUCAUAAAUACGAAAAAUGAAGCAUGCCUAUUUGCUAUUGAAAUCAUAAAUUGAGAAAUAGAUUUUUAAAGAAAACACUGGCAAAAGAAUAAGGUCAAUGAAAAAUAAAAAGAGUAUAUCAAAGUAUAUAUCAAAGAAUAUAAUUUGAUUAAAGUAGAAAAAAAUGACCAAAGAAUCAUCAUCCUUAUUUGGAAAGACCUACAAACAUUUACUAAAAACAUAUAAGUUGACUCGGGACACUGUAAUGUUUGCUUAUCUACUCGGCAAAGAUUUACCGACUGCAUGAAAUUCACUUUUAGCAAAUAGCUUACUCUCCAGAAAGUAGGUGUUUUUCCUUUAAUCAGUGUGUUUACAGGAGCUGUUCGGAUCAGAGUUGCCACUUCUGACAUUUUCAUAAAUGUGGUGUGAUAAAUUAGUGACCCUUGUUCUCUGACCAGUCAUUUGUCUGACUGACAUUGUGGAAUGAACUCUGGUGUCUUUUGCAUAAACAACUUGAUCAUUUCUGCCAGCCACUGGCUGCAUGCGUGUAUGUACUGUAUUCGUGUUUGUGUGCACAUCUGUGUAUCGUUUCAGUUUUUUAUGUUUCCACACGUGAAAAAGAUGACUCACCGCAUUUUGCCUUUGUGCAGUUGUGUACUUGUGUGACUCAGUCUCUGCAGUGUGUUGUUUGUUUUCAUUAUGGGUGUGUGUCCCCUAUGGCUUUUAACUAUAGGAGCACAGAGAUGAAUGGAGCUCUGUGAAGCAACAUGGAUUUCACAUCCUAUCGCCUCCUUCCUUUGUCUUUCUGCUGCACAAGAAGAGGGAAAAAGUGCACAGUAUGGAGACAAAGACGGGCAGAGAGAAGGGAAAGGUGAAAAAGAAUUGGGAAUAAAACAAGGACAAAAGCAGGGAGAAAACACAGCGAGAGGAACAAAAAUAAAAAAAGAUUUAAAAAAAGAAAGCCCGUACAAGGGGUUUGGAUCUUGUUGAUAUCGACUGACCUGUACAUUUCAAUUUUCGCCUGGCAGAUGUGAAUGCUCGCCUUUAUAUUGGGGCUUCAUGCUGUCUUUUUACUUCAUGUUAUGCGAAAAACCUUCUCGUUGCUGUUUUUCCACAAUAAACUAUUUAUUUGCAGCAUCAUUAAGUGCAAUGUAUUUUUCCCUCC